AGGAAAAGAAGAUCACAAAUCCACGUAUUCGCAUCUUGGAGCUGUGGAGAGAAUCAGCCAUUGCAUGCAUCUGUGAGUUUCUGCAGAGAAAGGACAAGGAUGUGCAAGAGAAAAUCAAAUUCCUGAGAGG